rnacentral:lncRNA from 1 species
ACUGGUUGUCAGGGGAGCUCAUAUACCACCACAGGCAGAGUAAAGGUGACCCUCCACUCCAAGCAGAAGACCCCUCCCAUCUGGGUUUCAGGGGGAGCUCGUAUACCACCCCAGACAAGGUAGAAGGGACUUGCCCCUAAAGGUGGGAGACUCCUCCCACCUUUGUGUCCUGAGGAGAGGGGCUCAUAUACAGCUGCAGGCAGGGUAGCAAGGACUCAAAACCACAGGCAGAAGACCACUUUCACUUGGGUGUCCGAGGGAUUGCCUAUCCUGCAGCAGCCAAGGUAGAGGGGACUCGCCACUCCAGACAAGAUUCCCCUCCCACAAGAUUGUCGGGGGGCACUCAUAUACUUGCCCCAGCCAAGAGAGACGGGACAAGCCACUCCAGGUAGGAGACCCCUCUCACCUGGGUGUCAGGUAGUAUACUACUGGAGUAUACCACUGGAGCCAGGGAAAAGGGUACUCACCCCUUCAGGUGGGAGACACCUCCCAUAUGGGUAUGGGGCAUGUGCUCCUAUACCACGGCAGCCAGGGUAGAGGGACUCGCUCUUUCAUGCAAAAGACCCCUCCUACCUGUAUGUUGGGGUAGUUUGGAUACCACCACAGCCAGGGUAGAGUUGUCUCACCCUCCAGGCAGGAGACCUCUCACACAUUGGUGUCAGGGGGAGCUCUUAUCCAGAUGCAGCCAGGGUAGAGGGACUUGCCCCUCCAGGCAGAAGACCCCUCCCACCUGGGUGUCUGAUGGAGCUAUAUACUACCGCAGCCAUGGUAGAGGGUACUUUCCCCUUCAGGAGGAAGA